CUUUCUUGAAUUCUUCAACCGGAACUUGCCCGAAAUUCGCUUGCAUCACGUUCUGAAUCCACAGCCCCAUGUUCUCUCUAACUCUAAGCUCUCCCCAAUGGAAAAGCACCAACCUUGCCGGCUUUGCGCAUCCGUUUUUCAUAGACCAACCGACAAAAGGCAUCAUGGCCAUUAACCCGUGCCACAAGUUUCCGUAGUCAUAGAAUGUGUCGGACACGAACGCGAGACCCUUCAAGAAUGUGGUGGAGUUUGGUAGGCCUUCAGGAUAUGCCAAGGCAUAUGAGUUUCUAGUGCCGUCGCUUAUGUCAUUCCCUUUGAUGCACAAUAGCCUUCCGUUGGACGCCUCCGAAGGGAAAUAAAGUGUUGGCAAACCUUGUGUCUUUGAGAGGAAGAAAUUUAACCGAGUUUCGGAGUUUCAAGGCGGGUGAGAAGGAAGGAGAGGGUUGUGCAAGAUAUAGGAUAAGAAUCAGAAAGAGUGAAGAGAUGCAAAUGGCGAUGAGAACGGUUGAGUGAGAAACGCUCUUCUUUUUGUUUAAUAGCUUGGGCUUGCUUUCCACUUCCAUGGUUUCUUUUCUUGUGUUCAAAGCGAAUGACCAGAAAGGGGCACAUUUAGAGGAGUUAAAUAACAAUUGGAUCUAGAGAUUGAGAUUUUGGUGUUGAUUUAUAUUUAAAUAGAAAGACAAGCAACAAAUGAUUACCAUUA